CCAGUGCGGUGUGGCGAAGUGCACUGUCUCUGACACGCUGUAGCCGCAGCAUACUUUAGAGACGAAGGCACCGGGGUAGCAGACAACGAACUGGCCGCUGCGCUGGACCGUGCGGUGAACCUUGAUGCCCUCACGGCACAGCACCUCUGGAGAGAUCUGGCGCAUCAAGAGGAAACAAGAGAUCCCUGGGGUGCCAUUGGCCUGAAGCAGUGUAUGGACCACCUUGUCCAGCUUAGCCUUCUCCUCAGCAGGGACAGAAUACCUGCAGGAGAAACACAAAGACAGACCAAUCGAUAAAACAUCAGCCAACCUUUGACCCCUCUUUCA